rnacentral:rRNA from 1 species
GAUGAACGCUGGCGGCGUGCCUAAUACAUGCAAGUCGAGCGAAUGGAUUAAGAGCUUGCCCUUAUGAAGUUAGCGGCGGACGGGUGAGUAACACGUGGGUAACCUGCCCAUAAGACUGGGAUAACUCCGGGAAACCGGGGCUAAUACCGGAUAAUAUUUUGAACUGCAUGGUUCAAAAUUGAAAGGCGGCUUCGGCUGUCACUUAUGGAUGGACCCGCGUCGCAUUAGCUAGUUGGUGAGGUAACGGCUCACCAAGGCAACGAUGCGUAGCCGACCUGAGAGGGUGAUCGGCCACACUGGGACUGAGACACGGCCCAGACUCCUACAGGAGGCAGCAGUAGGGAAUCUUCCGCAAUGGACGAAAGUCUGACGGAGCAACGCCGCGUGAGUGAUGAAGGCUUUCGGGUCGUAAAACUCUGUUGUUAGGGAAGAACAAGUGCUAGUUGAAUAAGCUGGCACCUUGACGGUACCUAACCAGAAAGCCACGGCUAACUACGUGCCAGCCGCCGCCGUAA